rnacentral:misc_RNA from 1 species
GAUGAGAACGUAGUGAAAUGCGAUAAGUAAUGUGAAUUGCAGAAUUCAGUGAAUCAUCGAAUCUUUGAACGCAUCUUGCGCUCCUUGGUAUUCUGAGGAGCAUGCCUGUUUGAGUGUCAUUAAAUUCUCAACUACACUGACUUUGAAUUGGUGUGGCUUGGAUUUGGGGGGAAAAUUGUUGUGGGCUUUUUGUAUAGUCUGCUCCCCUGAAAUUGAUUAGCGGUACCUUUGUGGAACUGUCUACAGGUGUGAUAAUUAUCUACAUCUGCUGGAAUGCUGCUUUCUAAACCUUACUUGUAUUGACAAUCUUGACCUCAAAUCAGGUAGGACUACCCGCUGAACUUAAGCAUAUCAAUAAGCGGAGGA